CCCACUUCUGGCUGGUUCACUGGCCUUGAGGAGUGGAGCUGAGCUGGAUCCACCCUGUGGGCGGGCCGGGCCUACCUGAGCCUAGCCUAGAUCGGUGGAACCCAGAGAACCUGCAAUCAUACGAUCAAGAAAUAAAUGCUUAUUGGUGCAAUGCGACGAAGCUCAGGGUGGUUUGUUAUGUUAUUACGUUAUUGUGUUAUGUUAUUGUGGCAACUGACCCAUGAUGCGAGAAGGGAGGGCCAGGCCUGGUGUGGGGAAAGGACACGGUCUGAGGCUGUGAUUUUGGGAAGUAACUGAGCUCUCCUGAGGAGCUGGUCUGGCAGCACCAUAUUAAGCACGGUGAAGACAGACCAGAGACCCCUGGGCACAAAAGCACCGGCUUGUCGCAGUGUCUACUGUAGGACAGACCCACAAAGCCACACGGGAAUGGCAGCCAUGAGCUGGGACAAACGACACCACAGCCAUCCUGCAGGCUCUGUGGGUGGAAACACCGCUAAGUGGCCCCACGUGUCACUGUCCCGCGAAGGAUGAUGUUUGUCUCUCAGAGGAUCAACACGGGCAACUAGACAAAUGGCAGCAAGCCAGUGAGGAGACUACUGGGGACAGAAUGGGAGCGAGGAGCCACAGCAGGGCUGGUGUGCUCUUCUCUGGGCUUUUACACAGCUCACAGGAAGGACAGCUACUCACCAGGACAGCACUUGGGGCAUGUGAUAUUAGCCUCUGGUGUUUAAACACUUUAAAAAAGAUAACACCUGUUGAUGCCCGAGUUCGUUAAGUUCGUAUAGAUUUGCCUGUCGUGUUCUUUCCUCUCACAGCAUCACAGCACUGUUGGGAGCUGGGCCAGCUCUGGGGAGAAGGCGAACCUUCUGGCCUCCAGCAACUCAUCAGAACCACGCUAAAGCUGGAAGCCCCUCCACGUUCGGGCAAGAGGCAGGGCCUGUAGGAAUCAAGGGGCAGUUUCCCUCCACGCUUCCCCGUGAUUUGGGGCAUGUAAGCCCAGAGAUCCUCAGUGGCCCUACACAAAGCACAGAUUAAAAAAAAUUUUUUUUUGUCAAUGUUUAUUCAUUUUUGAAUAAAAGACAGAGAGA